rnacentral:rRNA from 1 species
UACAGAGGUCUCAAGCGUUGUUCGGAAUCACUGGGCAUAAAGGGCGUGUAGGCGGGCUUUCAAGUCGGUUGUGAAAUCCCUCAGCUCAACUGAGGAACUGCAUCCGAUACUGUUUGUCUUGAGGACGAGAGGGGAGAGUGGAACUUCUGGUGGAGCGGUGAAAUGCGUAGAUAUCAGAAGGAACGCCGGUGGCGAAAGCGACUCUCUGGCUCGUAACUGACGCUGAAACGCGAAAGCUUGGGUAGCAAACGGG